rnacentral:rRNA from 1 species
GGGUUGUGAGGUUAAGCGACUAAGCGUACACGGUGGAUGCCCUGGCAGUCAGAGGCGAUGAAGGACGUGCUAAUCUGCGAUAAGCGUCGGUAAGGUGAUAUGAACCGUUAUAACCGGCGAUUUCCGAAUGGGGAAACCCAGUGUGAUUCGUCACACUAUCAUUAACUGAAUCCAUAGGUUAAUGAGGCGAACCGGGGGAACUGAAACAUCUAAGUACCCCGAGGAAAAGAAAUCAACCGAGAUUCCCCCAGUAGCGGCGAGCGAACGGGGAGGAGCCCAGAGCCUGAAUCAGUGUGUGUGUUAGUGGAAGCGUCUGGAAAGGCGCGCGAUACAGGGUGACAGCCCCGUACACAAAAAUGCACAUGCUGUGAGCUCGAUGAGUAGGGCGGGACACGUGGUAUCCUGUCUGAAUAUGGGGGGACCAUCCUCCAAGGCUAAAUACUCCUGACUGACCGAUAGUGAACCAGUACCGUGAGGGAAAGGCGAAAAGAACCCCGGCGAGGGGAGUGAAAAAGAACCUGAAACCGUGUACGUACAAGCAGUGGGAGCACGCUUCGGCGUGUGACUGCGUACCUUUUGUAUAAUGGGUCAGCGACUUAUAUUCUGUAGCAAGGUUAACCGAAUAGGGGAGCCGAAGGGAAACCGAGUCUUAACUGGGCGUUAAGUUGCAGGGUAUAGACCCGAAACC